GUUUGUUUUUAAGCCAAAGAUGUUAGAAAGAGCGUGCGUGUGCCUGAAGCUUGUUUGUUAUAUAUUUAUUGUGUAGCAGAGGUGUAUGAAGUAGUGAUUGUGAGGAUUGUAGUAAUACAAAGUGGGAUAAUGCAAUGGUCCGAGAAAGAAUUUCAGGACAAAAAGAAACGGAUACUCAACAGUACCGAUUUAAGUCGCAAAGGUAGUGUGGACAGUGACAUUGUUGAACUUGUUGAUUUUAUCAACUCUCACAACCAAUAUGUUACAACAAGUUCGUGUUCAGGCCGCUUGAUCGUGUUUUGUGAGGUGCCGUCAAUGGGAAACAGUAAAGAAGGAUGCAAGUGGUUGUACACAACACAUGAUGACAUCGAUAUGGAGGAUAUGAUGAGUAAGCUUGACCCAACUGUGGGAGAUCUCGUGCUGAAAUUUGAACCUAUGAUUCUUCACGUACAAUGUCAUACAGUAGAAGACGCAAAACAUUUGCAUAAUUGUGCCCUGGAAUCAGGCUUCCGCAACACUGGAGUCACAAUUGGUCACAGAGGAAAAGUCAUGCUGGCAAUACGUAGCUGCUUAAACUUAGAAGUUCCACUUUCUCAUGCUGGGAAGCUAUUAGUCUCUGAAGAGUAUCUAAAAUUCCUUACUAGUAAAGCCAGUGAGAAGAUGAAGGAAAAUAAAAGAAGAACCAUGAAUUUUUUCUCAAAAAUUAAAAACAUUAAAGAGAAAGAAAUUGUGAGAACAGAAGUACUGAAUUUCUAACGACAAUUUGCUUCUCUGAAACCCAGCUGGUUACUUCAGCUGCAGACCUUGUCUUGGAAACAGAUUUUUUUGAAGACGUAGCGACUGGAAUUCCAUCUACUCAGCCACAGUAAGACAACUGAGCUCCAAUAAAUAAGCAGUGGCAUUGAUGCACAAGUAACUGAAGUAAUGUCAAGUCAGAAGAUUUGAUUGAGACUGUGAUCUAUGCAUAAUGUAUCUAUUUUAUAAUGAGUUAAAAAUGUUACUCCAGGAAUUCUUACAAUGUGUUUUCAGAGAACUAAUCAUUCCAUCUUAUUUUCUGCUAAAUCGUAUAUAUUACUUCCUAAUUUCCCUUCAGGGGAAGCAUAUAAAUUUAAAAAAAAAAAAAUGGCUGGUAACUAGAUAAUAGAACUAGAUUGGUUUGUGAUUCUACACAUUAGCAGAAAUGUUACUUUAUUCUGUGUGCAGAAUCUUUAUAUUAUAGUUUUCUGAUUAUCAAAGUAAUAGCCCAGGGAAAUACAUGGAUGAAACUAUUUUCUUGACAGAUAAGGAGGGAAAUGCUGUAAUAUCAAGUUAUCAAGAAAACGUCUCUGACAUUACAAGGGCAAGUUUUCACAACAAGGAUUACAUUUUUAGGAUUGAAAUAAUGCAGCACAGCUCAUUUAUGGCCUCAGAUAACGAAGGAAACCCCAUGAAGAAGAAACUGUCCCAUAACUGUAGUGAUGGUUGUCAGAGUAAUUAAAAUAUCUGCCUAUAGUUUCUUAUAUUUGAAAUGUGUAUUUUGUGUAAUAAAACACCAGUUUUUGUUCA